UACGGAAGGUCCAGGCGUUAUCCGGAUUUAUUGGGUUUAAAGGGAGCGUAGGCGGAUUGUUAAGUCAGCGGUUAAAGGGUGUGGCUCAACCAUGCAUUGCCGUUGAAACUGGCGAUCUUGAGUGCAGACAGGGAUGCCGGAAUUCGUGGUGUAGCGGUGAAAUGCUUAGAUAUCACGAAGAACUCCGAUCGCGAAGGCAGGUGUCCGGGGUGUAACUGACGCUGAGGCUCGAAAGUGUGGGUAUCAAACAGG
rnacentral:rRNA from 1 species